AAGACCUUGCGCUUUUGGAGCGGCCGAUGCCUGAUUAGCUUGUUGGUAAGGUAAAAGCUUACCAAGGCUUCGAUCAGUAGCUGGUCUGAGAGGACGGCCAGCCACACUGGGACUGAGACACGGCCCAGACUCCUACGGGAGGCAGCAGUGGGGAAUUUUGGACAAUGGGCGCAAGCCUGAUCCAGCCAUGCCGCGUGAGUGAAGAAGGCCUUCGGGUUGUAAAGCUCUUUCAGCCGGAACGAAACGGUUACGGUUAACACCCGUGACUACUGACGGUACCGGAAGAAGAAGCACCGGCUAACUACGUGCCAGCAGCCGCGGUAAUACGUAGGGUGCGAGCGUUAAUCGGAAUUACUGGGCGUAAAGCGUGCGCAGGUGGUUUUGUAAGUCAGAUGUGAAAGCCCCGGGCUCAACCUGGGAACU
rnacentral:rRNA from 1 species